GAAAACUGAGCUUUUUAGCAAUCGGUCACUGACAUGACUGAAGCAUUAAUGCUAGCUCAGAUCAUAUUAUAUUUGUGUGUGUGGUCACUGUGUCAGAUUAGGAGAUGUUUUAGAAGAUGGAUUCAGUUUUGGGAUUUAAUUGAGGCGGAAGUGCCUUCAAGCUGCAUUCCUUUUGAUUGCCAGCAGGGGGCGACUCUUUGUGCUGCCUAGUCUUUGUGGAACUGUGAAGGUCGUUUUGUAAUUUACUAAAGUCAGAAAGGAGAAUCAUCCAGGUGCACUCGUAGACUUAUGACUUUUCAGUUAUUUGUCCUCUGUUUCUUGGUCACAUUCAUCACUUGUUCAUCAAAAUUCUCUUCAAAACAACCGAAUGGUGGCGGAUAAAAACUUUGCCUUUUGAGAAUGAGAGUCACCACAGAUGCCACAUCCCAGUCAGUCACACUUGUUAUCCAGCCUUUUCAAAUGAGAGAACCAAAGUGUUGUGUAUAAACUGACAUAUAGUCUGUUUUACAGUCCUGCGUUUCCAACACUGGCAACAUCGUUUCUCUUUUGUUUUUGUCAUUUUCAGCUUCACGGAAAACUGGAGAAGGUUCCGGAAACUGAAGCGUAAAAAUCAAAAACCUUAUCUGAACCUUACUGUGAUCUGAUCUCCUCUUUAAGGUCAUUUUCAGCAUGUCUUUUUCUUUCCUCCAUUCUGACCACUCUCACUGUGUGACUUCACCAUGGACCUCACAUUAGUGCAAAGAACGAACAUCAACUUUUACUUUAAACUGAUCCAGAGUUUGUGGAUGAUCAUCGUUGGUGAUGAGAGCUGAAUCUUUAGCUAUGACCAAGCAGUUUCCAGUCAAAGACCAGAGUUUCCAAGUCCAAAGGCAGCACAUCAGGUUGAGGAAACUUAGAAGAACGCUCUGCAUUUUUUUCAACAUUUAUCUGGUUGUGCAUCAUGGAUUCUAUCCACAGCAGGAUAAACAGUGUUCACCACCAGAAAAUAAAAAAAAACACAAGAUAUAUAAUUUUCUGUGGCUCAGACACUCUAAAGGUCAAAGUGACACAUUGAGUGGAAGAAGACAUUUAGAUUUGUGUGCGUGUGUGAGAGACGAGGAAGGCUGUCCCAAAUCUUCACACAUCACCUUUGAAGUCUGCACAGUGUCGUGUCACGCCACGCCACGCUUGCGUUGUUGUUCAAACACAGAAAAAGUAGUCAUGUGAAAACAAAGCAAACACAGUGAUGCUCACCAACGUUCCCGGCAGAAUACUGAACUGAAAAAACCCCCCAAAUAUUUGAUGCCGUAGUGCGUUUGUGUUUACCUUAACGUCACUCGUGCCAAUUUAGAUGGACCACGUCUGUUGUAUCCUAAGCUUUGUGAAUUUUGUGGGUGUUUUGAAACAGACAGUUUUCCUAGUAACUUUACAGUACUUUCCCUUAACAUCCAUUUUUCUUUCAUGUGGUGACUUUUGCACUCCAGUCUUUUUUUAAAAAAAUAUUUGAGAACUAAAUAAGUGGAUUAUAGUGACAAUGGUACUGCGUGUUGGAAACAGUGAUGGCUGUGAAACUUUGAAAGCUGCAGCCUUAAAUAUAUGAAAACUUCUUGAAACUUUUCUUCUGUGUAUUAUUCUACUCGAAUGUCUGUUCACUCUCUGUGAUGAAGACCCAGAGGUGCAUUUCCUGUGUAUAAUCAGAGCUGCACACAGUUUAAACUUUGGAUGUUAGCUUCAUGUCCUGUCACUGACCUGUGAUGUUACUCUCAUCUGCAGAGAGCUGGUAGAUCUGUAUUUGAUCAUUGUGUGGGCCCAUAUAAAAUAAAGUCUACAUUUUGCCAAAUUUUCAGACUUGAUAGCACGACAACAACGCUUAAUGAGCUUUUGCUUCUCUGACUACUGACGUGGUCCACCGGCUGGUUCGGGACAUAUUUGGGCCUCAUAUAUGAUCCAUUUUCUGUCCAAUAACACAGAUGAUAGAUUAAAUCGAUCAAAAACUGGACUUUUUUUUAUUUUUUUAUUAUUGAAUCACUUAUUAAUACAGUGAAUUUUUAAAAAAGUUUUAGAUUUACCUUUACCUAUGGUCGUGAGCUUCAGUUAAUGACCGACAGAAUACAGUUGACACCGCUUCUCUGAAUUGAAAGAGCCAGCUGACAUAGUUCGGACUUCCAGGGGCAGAUCCAGCACACUCAGGAGAGAUUGUGGCUCUCGGCUGGUUUGGGAAUUUCUCAAAGAGCAGGAGGUGGGAGCAUCCAUGCCCCUGUGCCCAGAGAAGCCGUAGACCAUGCAUAAACAAUGAGCUGAUGAAUGCAGGGGAGAGAACUCAUCAGAAUAUAUUUGCUGAGCUAUGUAAGGAGAAUAUUACAAACUCUAGAUAUAUGAAUUUUAAAAUAAAUAUAAAGAUGUUUUUCUUGCUGUUCUUUUGCAUCCAGAUAUUGAGAUCCCGCCCAUAUCUUAAUGAGUCAUCUUUGCAAGUACGGGGAGGCUGACUGUGUUACGUGUAAGCCGCCCUUUCCACAUUUCCAUGCUAAGCAAACUGUUUAGCUGUAGAUUCAUGUGUUCAGGAUUCUUUGGAACCCCCCCCCCCCCCCCCCCCAAAAUAAAUAAAUAAAUAAAUAUCCUGCCCUUAAACACCUCAGUCAACAAGCUCUGAUGUGAGAGAGAGAGAAGCUUAAAUAUUACACUCCUGAGUUACUCCCAAAUCUCUUUUUUUCUUCUUGCGGAUUAUUUUGUAUUUGUUGUGGCCAAACCAGCAGAGAUUUUCAUGCCUUAACUGUCUCUGAGUGACGUAAGUGGUUGUAUCAGAUCAGAUUUUCAUUGUCUGAAUAAAGAAAUGUUUGAAACUGAAGGUGUUUUUUUUUUUCCUUUCA
ensembl:lncRNA